rnacentral:misc_RNA from 1 species
GCGGUGUUGUGUAUUUCCAUUCAAACAUUAAUACUUUCAAGAUCCAAUAUAAUAAGACCAGAUGCCUCCGGGAAUCUUUAUCCACCUUAGAUAUUGUGACUUUGGUCAUGCUCAAUAAAGUCUAGAGCAUCUUCCUUGGUGAAAACAUUGACACGGCUCACCCUAUUUUUAUGGGUUACACCAUAUAUCUUGUCGGCAACCUUCACAAGCUCUGGCCUAAAUGUAGUUGUUAUAAAUUGAGUAUUCGCCAUGUCUGCUAGCCGACGAAUCAUAUUUCCGACUGCAGUUCUAUAUUGAGGAUCCAAUGCUGCAUCUAUCUCAUCAAACAGGUAAAAUGGAGCAGGAUCACAUCGUU